CCCCCGGGCGUCGAUGAAUGUGGGGUACCAUUCCUUGAUGAUGUGGUCAUGUUUGUAGUCGGCCUUAUUGUCCUUUAGAUGUUCCACGGUGUUCCGCUCGCUCUUCUCAUAGGCCUCCCGGGGCUUCCGGACAGACACCUUGCAUUCUCGGACCUUGUUGACGAUGAAUUCUUGGAUGAGAAACCUGAUAUCUUCCAUGAGGCAGUCAUCAUAAAGAAGUCUGAAUAUCUUGGUUGAGAGCUAGACUUUGGAAACAGAGAGACCCUGUAUAAUAACAGACUAAGAAGUAAGGAAGACAAGCCCAGCCAGUCCCACAACUAUUUCAUUAAUACCAGGUAAAGCAACAGACCUGCCAGUGAAGCAUCUUGGAUCCUUUAGCUUUAGAAAAUCAGCUCUGUUACAUCUGCCGCCUCCUGUGAGCACAAGGCACAGAAAGUAGACCCUGUAACCCUCAGAGGGCCUGAAGGAAAGCGAUGCUGGUGUGACCUGCCCAAGAGGAUGGUGCCCAAGGCAGAGCAUUCUAGACCCUCAUAGGCAACAGAGCCAGGAAUGGAAGUGAGGAUACAGAGAAUGCACAAACGGGAACCAUGUGAGGACAGUGAGAAGGUGGCCAUCUACAAGACGAGAUGAGAGGCCUCAGAAGAAAGAAACCAAAUCUACAGACACCUUGAUCUUCAACUUCUGGCAUCCAAAACUGUGUCUCAGACAGCAGCCAUCAUUUGGCAAAUGGACCUAGAGUUACCUGAAGAUUCAACUGAAGAGGACAUUCAAUGUGGCUUUCUAAAGAUUGUAAAUUGACAAUUUGUAAUUGUAUAAACUUAUGGAGUACAAUGUGAUGUUGUAAUUUAUGAUCCAAUGUGAAAUAAUUAAAUCAAACUAUUAACAUAUCCAUCAUCUCAAAUAUUUGAGUAUAGUCACCAUAGAAAACAAUAUGCAGAUUUCUCAAAAAAUAAAAAAUACAAUUACUAUA
ensembl:lncRNA novel transcript